UGGGGAAUUUUGGACAAUGGGCGCAAGCCUGAUCCAGCAAUGCCGCGUGCAGGAAGAAGGCCUUCGGGUUGUAAACUGCUUUUGUCAGGGAAGAAAUCCUCUGGGUUAAUACCUCGGGGGAUGACGGUACCUGAAGAAUAAGCACCGGCUAACUACGUGCCAGCAGCCGCGGUAAUACGUAGGGUGCGAGCGUUAAUCGGAAUUACUGGGCGUAAAGCGUGCGCAGGCGGUUGUGCAAGACAGGUGUGAAAUCCCCGGGCUUAACCUGGGAACUGCACUUGUGACUGCACGGCUAGAGUACGGUAGAGGGGGGAUGGAAUUCCGCGUGUAGCAGUGAAAUGCGUAGAUAUGCGGAGGAACACCGUGGCGAAGGCAAUCCCCUGGACCUGUACUGACGCUCAUGCACGAAAGCGUGGGGAGCAAAACAGGAUUAGAUACCCUGGUAGUCCACGCCCUAAACGAUGUCAACUGGUUGUUGGACGGCUUGCUGUUCAGUAACGAAGCUAACGCGUGAAGUUGACCGCCUGGGGAGUACGGCCGCAAGGUUGAAAACUCAAAUGAAUUGACGGGGUCAUAGCUGUUUCCUG
rnacentral:rRNA from 1 species